GAGAGAUAUGAUGAUUGAACUUUUCUGGUUCCCUAUUGGUUUGAUUAGCCGAGAUGAUGGCAUCUAACGUAUUAGCUCUAUCUGAUCUCAU
rfam:Brassica oleracea var. oleracea cultivar TO1000 chromosome C3, whole genome shotgun sequence